GUCUAUAGCCAUGCUACUUUGAAUGUGCCCAGUCUCAUCUGAUCUUAGAAGCUGAGCAGGGUCAGAUCUGGUUGGUUAGUACUUGGAUGGGAGACCACCUUGAACUACCAGGUGCAAGUGCUGUAGGUG
ensembl:rRNA 5S_rRNA 5S ribosomal RNA